rnacentral:lncRNA from 1 species
GUUUGACUGUUUGAAAGACCAAUAAUUUAGUAUCAUCAACAGAUGGAUUGGAUGCUGGACAGAAAUGAGUGUUUUCCUUUUGCUAUAGAAGACAUCAGUGAGUCAGUUGGCAAAUUUUAAAUAAGGUCUAUAGUAAAUGUAUUACUAUUCUAUUAUUUCAUUAUUGCACUGUAGUUAUAUAUUAGAAUAUCCUCAUUUUUCAAAAAUGCACACUGAAGUGUUUAGAUGUGAAGGAACAACUAUUUGCAAUUUACUCUCAAAAAACUGGGCUAGAGGGCUGGGAGUUGUGGCUCAGUGGUAGAGCGCUUGCCUAGCAUAUGGGAGGCACUGGGUUCGAUCCUCAGCACCACAUAUAAAUAAAUAAAGUAAAGGUCCAUAGGCAACUAAUAGAAAAAAAAAUUUUUUUUUAAAAAAACUGGGCUAGAGAUAUAGAGAGUGAUAAAGUAAACAUGGUAAGACCUUAGCAUGGAGAGGGUAGGUGGGAAUUCUUAGUACAAUGGGAGGUUUUCUCUAAAUCUGAAAUUAAAAGGUUUUCAAAAGGUCUUUUUUGGGGGGUUGUUUAAUCACAUUUCAAGGAGAUCCAUCCAUUACAUUUGGUUGACUAAUUCAUUAUGGUUCUUAUAUCUGUAGCAGUUCACAUUUCUUUUAUGCCAUUUAUUUGUCAAUGAAACUGGAUCAUUUAUUUCACUUUUUUAAUUUGGAUGAUUGUAUCCUUGUGUGACAUGUUCCUGUAUCACCCAUUUUUCCUGCAGAUUUAGAAACUUCAUUAAAUUUAAAUUCAAAACUUUUUGCAAGACUACUUCAUAAGAAGUACUGUGUAGUUCCUAUAAUAUUACAUCAGGUACAUAAUAUCUGAUGUACUAUUUUUAGAGAUAAAAUUGCUUAGUGUUGGGCACAGUGGCAUGCACCUAUAAUCCCAGCUACUAGGGAGUUUGAGGCAGGAGGAUCUCUUAAGCCCAGAAGUUCCAGCCCUGAGCAACUCAGCAAGACCCCUUCUCAGAUAGAUAGAUAGAUAGAUAGAUAGAUAGAUAGAUAGAUAGAUAGAUAGAUAGAUAGAUAGAUAGAUCCAUUGCCAGUUUGUUGUAUCAUUAUAAAGUUCCCCAUAUCUUUCAUCUAGUAUAAUAUCCAUUGGUAAUUAUUUUCUAUAUCCAUUAUAUUUUUUGAGGUUGUAAAAUGGUGAUUUUCUAAUUCUGUCCUUUCUUUAUAUAUAAAUUCUUUACACAACAUAUUUGCUACAUAGCACUGUAGUCUGAGGUUCUAGUUUUUAAUCAUCAAUGCCAGCCUGUAUAGACAGUGCCCCCAAAUUAAUCUUGGAGUCAUGGGACCUGUCCAGAGUUUGAAAAGUCAGUUUCUCCCACAUGUGAUCCUAAAUUGACUGGAUUUAUAAAUCACAGCAGCUCUGACCAUGCCUUUAGAUGUCCAGGCCUCCAGCUCUGCAGACACCUAUGGAAAAAUGGUGCCCUUAUAAUGAACAAUGGCUAAGUGAAAGACAAAAUUAAAUUGUUUUAAAAUGAAAGAUUUAAAAAGUGGUCCUGUGGGCUGGGGCUGUAGCUCAGUUUCCUAGCACAUGUGAGGCACUGGGUUCGAUCUUUAGCACCACAUAAAAAUAAACAAAUAAAAUAAACGCAUGCUGUCUAUUAAAAAAAAUAAUAAUAAGCAAUCCUGUUCCUAGACCACUGUUUCUAGGAGUCAGAUCUCAAAUGUCAAGGAAUGUAUGGAAUGUCUUCUACACUGUUCUUCAGUCUUAGAACAGGAGCAAUGGAAGAAUUUAACAAAGUAAACCAAGAAUAACAAGCUUUGAGAAAGAGGUUUUUUGAAGAAAAAGUUGAUAGUUUAGAGAACAAGUCAGGUAGAUUUUUCUCUUUGCCUCCCUGGCUUUCUGAGGACAAACUGCCACCAUGAAUGACACAGUAACUUUCCAGACCAGCAAGUUCAUACCCAACGACUACUUCAGAGGAAACAAAUGGUUGAUGAUGUUCUUUACCCUGUGAAAGCAACAGUACCUAAGAAAGAAAUUUGAUAAAAAAAUUAGCCAAAAUGUACAAGACCACAUCAGAUGUCAUCUUUGUGUUUGGAUUCAGAAUCCAUUUUGGAGGUGACAAGAUAAGUUAAUGAUUCCUUGGAUUAUGCAAAGAAAAAUGAACCCAGACAUAGACUGGCAAGACAUGGUCUGUAUGAAAAGAAAAAGAUUUCAAGAAAACAGUAAAAGGAACACAAGAACAUAAUGAAGAAAGUCAAGGGGACUGCAAAGGCAGAUGUUAGUGCUGGCAAAAAGCCAGUCUCUGUGGUGAUUGUGCAAACUGAUUACAAGGAUUCAUAAACUGAAAACUUAAAAAGAAAUGGUAACUUGGACCCAGUGAAAUCCAAUAGGAAAAGAAGCAAAAUCUCAGGAAACUGUACUGCCUCUAAAAGAAGGAACAAGAAUAUGGGCACUUCUUGGCCAAGUGCUUUUAGAGCUACAUAGAGACUUCUUGGUAAGAACUGCUCCUUCAAGCCUGGGACAGUGAUAUCAAGUAUUCCCUGAAGGUCUCGACAGUCUAAGAAGAAAAAUCAGUCAAAAGAAAGUAGCUACUCAAGGUAUUACUUAAUGGGUGUCCAAAUGUCACUUGAAUCAUAGAUGGAGACACAGCCUUUGCGGUACCAGAGGAAACAUGCCUGAGAAAUUUGUACAGCUGAGACUCCAAAUGAAGAUGGCAAGGAAGGCAAAACACAGGAGAGCCAGGCCUGGAUAAGCUAUUAGGUCCAAUCAGAAAAUCCAUGCCAGUUAGGAUAGUCUUAACUCAGAAAGGAGAGGGUGGCCAUGAUAUUAUUAAACAAUGGUUGCUUUUGUUCAAACCAGAACCCAGGGACUUAAUCUUUCAUAAUGAAGUUUCCCUUAGACAAAAUAUAGAACAAAAUGUUAAAUAGCACAUGUUUGGGGCAGAAAGAAGAGAAAAUUAGCUUCAAGUUUUUUUAACUUAAAAAAAAGGGAAAGGAGCCAUCAGAUUCUACAAGUAGCAUAGGUGACUCAAAGAAGAAAAGGGAUCAAUUUUGUUGUGACAAACUCAGUCAUUCUGACUGGACUUGGAAUUACCUCAGUUACCAGUUUGGCCUUCUGAGGGCAACAACUUCACUCUUCACUGCAGUCUCAAGAAUAUUCACAGUGUAGUUGCCACUGAGGUGGGAGUGGGUAAGGGAUGCACUCAUGAAAAUGGGGACAGCACUUCCCUGAAGGAUUGUUGACUCCUGUAAAGGAGAUGAUCACACUCUUGCUUGGCCUUGAGCUUAAUGGUGAAGCCCAAGAAGCAGAAAUGAGGAGCGUUGGAAAGAAUGAACCUCCUUUUCCCUAAAAAAAACCCAUUACAUAACAUUUUUUGGUUUCUCUGUGCCCUCUGUCACUACUACAAGGGACAUGGAUGAAUUUUCUAACUGCAAAUUAGCAAAACAGGAACUUGGCAUCUGUGCCUCAGCCCCUUGGUCCUCCUUGUUCUCUUGAAAGCCUGCUUAUCUACAGAGAGAAUACAUUCUGUUAUAUUCCUCCAGUCUUCAGACCUUAAAAUGGCAGGCAGGAUCUGUCCAUGCAGUUGAAAGCCUCAAGUUGUCCAACAUAACUAACUAUUCAAAGGUGUCCUUAAUUUAAGGGUUUAAUGUCAGAAAGUUCACUCUCCCACUUCUGUAAGCCAUUUUUUUCAAUAUUAUCUUUUUCUUUUCCUUUUUCAUACCAGGGACUGAACCCAGGGGUGCUUAACAACUGAACCACACAUCCCCAGUCCUUAUUUUAUAUUUCAUUUAGAAACAGUCUUGCUGAGUUGCUUAGAGCCUUGCUUUUGAUGAAGCAGGCUUUGAACUUGCAAUCCUCCUGACUUAGCCUCUGGAGCUGCUAGGAUUAUAGGUGCAUGCCACUGCACCCAGCCCAAUAUAAUGUUAAUUAGCAAUAAAGGUAAUAUGUCAUAUCCCUCUCUUUGGCCAUUUAUCAAGUGACCCUUCUAGAAGUUUCAUAGCCUAUCUGGGAUGGUGGAUAUGGCCAGGAUAUUAGGAAACCACUUCUUAGAGAUUCACCAAUAAUCCAGUGAGAAGGCAAAAUAGACAUAGUUCUAUGUAACUGUAACACUAAGGUUGGGCAAAAAAGCCAGAAAAUUGAUGGCUAGGAUAUCAUUUGUGAGCCAAAUGGACAAAGACAUUUUGAAGACCAUCAGAACUAGGCUUAGGUUGAGUUCAUUCCACCAACCUUAAGACAAGAAUUUGAAUGCAAAUUAUUUAUUUAAGAGGUAAAGCUAGGAGAAACCAGUUCAAACGAUGAAAAAUGAAAUGGAUGGAACACAAAACUGUAUUAAUGAAGAACUGGGGCUCAACUUCAGUGAGGACCUCUGGGAGAUGGCAUAGACCACUUUUUAUAUUGCCCUCCUCACCACCACCACCGCAAAGGAGCAAAAAAAAAAAAAACAACAACCAAAAAAAAAAAGCAGAAAUAUAUAUCCCCCAACUUGAUGGGUUAUGGUUUGAGGGCUGAUCCUGGGAGUAUUCCUUGGAAUUUCCAGCCUGCCUUACACAUUACUCCAACACUCUCUGGAGUCCAAAAAAGGCCCUUUUACAAAGACUCAGGAGACUAAUGGAAAAAAGAUGUGGGCUGGGUGCUGAAAACAACUGCUUCAACUAUAGACAUUGCAUAACAGCAAAAUAAGAGCUUAGUUGUCCUCAAGUCUUUUUUAUGUAUCACCUCACUUGACAUUCAAACACAAUGUUGUGAAGUAUCUAGGCAGCAGUUUUUCUCCUCAUCAAGAGUAAAGAGAGGAUGAGAAAACAGAAUUGGAGAGAUGAGAACUUGCCUGAAAGUAAGCACAACAGAAAUAUCCAAAAAAUAAUAUAUGGGAAUUUAAAAUGAGGACAAAGCCAAGUCUUGAACUUUUUUUAAUAAAUGGACACAAAGCAAUUCUCUUUAAUAAGAUGAAGUAGAACUUGAAAUCUGAACAAGAAUUAUUUUUUAAUGUAAGUGCUUUGCUGAAUUUAUAUACAGCAUUAACACAGCCUACUUCCACCAAAGACAUCAGAUUGCAGCUAUCUUUUGCUUAUUCUGCAAAAAUAGCCAUCCAGUCUCCUGGAAACUUCAUUCAACUUUUUCAUAAGCUUUAGAUGAUAGAUAGAAGAUUAAGCAGAAGCUUCAGUUGGAAUCUUAUUCCUAUAAUUGAUAUUUUGAAAAGCUAAAACAUGUUCAAUUCCUGGUGAUGGCAAUUUGCAUGAUUGAAUGGCAUUGCAAGACUGUUAAUUCAUACUGAAAACAUUCUGCAAAAUUAACAAUUUCAACGUUCUAAGACUCAAGGAAAGCAUUGUCCUUUUUGGAUUAUAAAAUUAGACUAUAAAAGAAAAAAUAUUCGAGAACAUUCUCAAUUACCUUGGACACAGGGCGAGAAAUAAAUAAAACUACUAUGAUUUUGGUGUUUUCUUCAUUCAAAAAUCAUUAGAAGAACAAAAUAAUGUGCUGUGAUAAAUAGUAAAAAAAAAUUGUAAAUUCAAAGGAUAAGAAGAAAGUGAAAGACAAAAAAUGAUCUCCUACUAUCACAAAAAACCAACCCACCCCACCACCUCCAUCAUUGCCUACAAAGAUAAAAUCUGAAGCUUAGUAUUUUAGGCUCCUCACAAUCUGGCCAAAACUGCCUCCUUUGUCAUCAAAUCUAUCUCCAAAUCUUGUCAAUUCUAACAAAAUACAUCUCAGUUUCUCUCACCAUCACCUACCUAAACUACUGUAAAAGUUUCCUAACUGGCCUCUCUUAACCUGGGCCCAUCUAGUCUGUCCUCAGAACAGCUAGAGUGUUUUUUAAUGAUUCCUUCCCAUGUGUGAUGACUUUAUUGAUUGCUUACCCUACAUCCACUCUCACUUUCUUUCCUUAUAAUUUUCAAAUUCUUUAUGGAACCACUGCAUCCUCAUUAUGUCACAAUCAUACCGUUGGAGAAUGACCCCAACCCCAGCUACAAGGAAGAGGGGAGUUAUAACCCACCCUUACUGCAGAGUGGGUUAGCAAUGAAUAGUAACUAAAUCUAAGCCAAAAAGUGUAGGAAGCCCCUGAUCACUGUGGCCAAUCCAAGUUGAUCAAUCAGAGGGAAGCUGGUUUAUCUUUAAAUGACCUAAAGAAGCUACAAUUUCCCUAUUCUUGUGAGAAGGAAACCAUGUACCCUGGUUGCUGCCAAAGCCUUCUUGCAGCAUUGAGAGAAACUGGCCCAGGGACUUUCAGAGAGAAUUUCAGAGAAAGGAGCCAGAAUCCUACCCCCUCUGAAAGCAGUGCUCCUCAGGCCAAUAAAUCCCUUUUAUUGUUUGAAACCUUUAAGUAGGGUUUCUAGUACAUGAAAUAAAAGCUUCCUGGUGAACACAAAAUCAACUCUAAACUGAAGACAUGCACCAAAUGUCUCCAAUCUUAUCCCCUGUGAAAUCCCACUCUUUUUCAGGUAACCUUUCUGUCUCAUAAGCAGGAAACCUUACUUUCCCUGCCUCAAUGCUUUUGAAUGUUUGUCCCUAUUCUUUAUGUUAAUGUCUCCUUAUCUUUCAUUCCUCACCUAAAGUAUCUCCUUGUAAUGACCCAGUCCCCUGUGUAGUCCUAUACUAAUGUAGGGCCAGGGAGGUUCGGCAACCCCAUGAGAAAAGAGGGGAGAAGGUCAGGAUGUCAGCUGAUCGUCGUCUCAGAUGCCACAAGCAAAUGUUUCACUCUCCCCUCUGUAAGAAUAAAGAGAUGGAAUCCCAGAUGGCUGCUCCCCAGGAGAAAAAGUCAUGGAAGCCAGGCCGCACUUCUCUGUGUGGGGGUCUAGAGGCCACAAGCUGGAAGCUGGUGUAGAGUGGUAGGUGAGGAGAGAGUGGGAUGAAAGCAAGACAGUGAAGAGACUAUAAAGAAGGACUAGAGAGGCUCGAGGGCCGACUGGUUACCACAGCAGAGGUGACAAGGACUUUGAAGCUAUGUUGUGUAACACAUGGUGUCUGGGUAUUCUGCAUAAAAAAUAAUUCUAUGGAAAACAGAAAUAGAUGUUACCAGGAGGCAAGGAAGAAGAUAUGGUAGCUACUGCUUAAUGAUUACAGAGAUUUUGUUGGGGUAAUGAAAAAGUUCUAGAUAGGGGUGACAGGUGUACAACAAUGUGAAUUUAAUACUACCGAAUUACACAUUUUAAAAUGGGGUAAAUCUUAUGUAUAUUUUAUCAAAACUAAAAAAAACCAUUCAGAGUAAAGGUGUAUUUGGAUUUACAGCUUCAGAGCUUCAAUCUAAGGUCUGCUUAAAAAAAAAAAAAAAGUUGUUUUUGAAUUAAAUAGAACUGGGCAUGGUGGUACACGCCCAUAAUCCUAGUUACUCAGGAGGCUAAGGCAGAAGUAUCACAAGUUUCAGCUAGACUCUGUCUUAGAAAAUAAAAAGGGUUGAGGAUGUAGCUCAGUAGUAGAACAUCCUAUCCAAUUAAAAAAAAAAAAAAAAAAGCUAGCUCACUGGUGACUCUGAAGGAAGAACUAGAACAGGCCAAGCCAACCUAGGAGGUUGGCACACUAAACUGGUCAGGAGGGGAUGAGAACUUCAACAAGGGCAGUAAUAGGAAUCAAUUCAGAAAUAGAAUGGUCAGGACCACAUGAGUUUCAUUUUGGACCUGCUGAUUUGAGGCAUUAUGGUGGACACUGCCCAGCUCCCUUCUUCAGGAUUAAGGCACACGUUUCCCCUGCUUGCCUGGGCAUAGCUAUCAAGGCCCACAGCUGCAUUCAUUUGUGGACAUUGUCCUUGACUAAAAGGAGAUGCAAGGGAUAUUGGAUACUUAGGAAGAAAUACUUGACAAGUGAACUAAUGGGAAGGGAUGGCAAUUAGAGUUUUGGUUGGAUUUAACAACAAAGAGAUCAUUAGUGACUUUAGCAAGAGGAAUAUAUGAAGAAGGGCAAGUUCUGGGUUUCCAGGGGAUGGAGGCCACAUAAGAAGCAUUGAAUACUUUGCUGGAUCUGACUCUUAAAGAAAGAGUAGGAAUCAGGCCAUGGGAAGACUAGCUAAGUAGGGAAAGUAGUGUGAACAAAAUAAUCCAGAGAAGUGGGUAGUACCCAGGCUUGGCUAUGAUAAAUGGUAGGCUAUAGAAUUUGAGAGCAUUCAACCAGGCUGUCACCAUACAUAUGCCUGAGUUUCACACAGAGUCUCACUAAGUUGCUGAGGCUGGCUUUGAACUUGCAAUCCUCAUACCUCAGCCUCCCAAAUUGCUGGGAUUACAGGCAUAUGCCACCGUGCCCAGAUUAUUAAUACAUUUUCUAAAAUGAGUUCUAUUAAGCCAAAUUAAUACUCUGAUCAGUUUCCUAACCUGUCUGAUAAAUUCAUUUCAGAUACUUUUUAUAUUUUUGUUAAUAUCAUGUUCAAACUUUUAAUUCUUCUUUUUAUAAAUACACAGGAAUAAUUGAAUAUAU